ensembl:snRNA U6 U6 spliceosomal RNA
CUGCUUGUUUCUGCAGCACAUGCACUAAAACUGGAGCGGUCCAGGGAAGAUGGGCAGGGCCCCUGUGCAAGGAUGGCCUGCAGAUUCCUGAGGUGUUCCGAAUAAGU